rnacentral:rRNA from 1 species
UACGUAGGGGGCAAGCGUUGUCCGGAUUUAUUGGGCGUAAAGAGCGUGUAGGCGGCCAGGUAGGUCCGCUGUGAAAACUCGGAGGCUCAACCUCGAGAUGUCGGCGGAAACCAUCUGGCUAGAGUCCGGAAGAGGAGAGUGGAAUUCCUGGUGUAGCGGUGAAAUGCGCAGAUAUCAGGAAGAACACCCGUGGCGAAGGCGGCUCUCUGGGACGGUACUGACGCUGAGACGCGAAAGCGUGGGGAGCGAACAGG